rnacentral:rRNA from 1 species
UACAGAGGUGGCAAGCGUUGUUCGGAAUUACUGGGCGUAAGGGGCUCGUAGGCGGCCAACUAAGUCGUACGUGAAAUCCCUCGGCUUAACCGGGGAACGGCGUCCGAUACUGGAUGGCUUGAGUUUGGGAGAGGGAUGCGGAAUUCCAGGUGUAGCGGUGAAAUGCGUAGAUAUCUGGAGGAACACCGGUGGCGAAGGCGGCAUCCUGGACCAAAACUGACGCUGAAUAGCGAAAGCCAGGGGAGCAAACGGG